UCAACGAAAUAAUCAAAAAUAUUCUUCAGCUUGUAAAGCAUGUAGAUGUCGCUAUUGUACUGACUGCCAACCAUAAUAACUUUGAAUGCGAUUUGUUUUCCCAAGACACACUUUGGUAUCCUUAGUAACAUGGGUGAGUUUUGUUGCCCCAACUCUUUAGAUGGCGUUGCGAACAUCGAAUAUCCAUAUAGAAGAAUAUAUGUUCGCGGCAAAGCCCACUUCUUUAUCUUGAAGUGACGGUAUCUUUGCCUAUACCCUACUGGUAAAGUGCGUGUUGAACAUGCUUUGAUGUGAACAUACUCGAACUCAAGCGCAGAGUUCAAGUUUAAACUUGGGUGCGCUUUCAUGUUUGAAAUGUUUUAAAAUCAAUCACAGCAGUCAGCUACGGUAGUUUUUUACUUUUAUUUCGGUUUCUGUUACUUACUAUACUGCUUCUGAUUUUCGGGGCAACAAAUCUAAACGGAAGUGAUGACCUUAAGCUGGAGAAUUUAGAGGAUUUUUGUUUGUGGCCGGUUUAUAGUUGAAAGAUUAACGACAGUACAUGCUAUUCCUGAACCUUCUUGCACUCAUGUCAAAUCAGCCGCUGCACUGAGUCCUGAAGACUGGAUGAACGCCGUAAGCUAUUCCAUUUUCGUUCUACAAAUUAGUGACCAAUCAGCUAAGUACCCAUCCUCAAAUGUCCAGCGGCCCUAAGAAGUUUAUGAUGGAUAUUCUGGCAUGAGGAGCGAUCGUGUAGACAUUCUUGCAAAGCAAUGAUCCAGAACGCAGGACGUCUGGAUUCACAAGUCUGGAUCUGCAAGCAGAUGCCUAACCUACUAACACCGACUGGUUCUGUCGCAUCGGGCCGACGAGUAUCGCUUCGUUUAUAAAUUUUUGCUACGGAUUUUUUUAAAAAGAAUUCCCGGUUGGAAAUCAUUUUUCAAAGUACCUUUAUCUGAG